CUUUGCACACGCGGGAGCUCGGAGCACCGGGCUGAGAGGGCGCUGACCUUCGUCUUCGCGAUGUUUCACGUGGAACGUACGACGUUCCCCGGGAAAUGCCGCCGGACGGAAGCCGCUGCGUCGACCGCCGAACCUGUUACCGGGUAAUGCCGGCGUAGGGAGUAGGUCUCAUGACCAA
rnacentral:ncRNA from 1 species